GGCCAGUCGUCAGUCAGUUGGCCAACAAACUGGUAGCGUCUGGUGUGGCGAGCCAACAAAAGGCUGGCAGAGCGGCCAACACCGGACCCGGCCCGAAACUGAAUCCGGGUCCGGGUCUGGGUCCGUGUCCGUGUCCGGGUUGGUUUCGCAGCAUCUACGGCAUCACGGCUGCCAAUUGAGCGGAGUUUGGGUCUCAAUUUGACGCGUAGCCAGCCAAGAAGAGUGGCCGGCCAACAACAAAAACAGGUGACGCAGGAUGUGGCCAACUGAGUAGGGAGAUGGCGGAAGAGCAGGAGGCGCAGGAGGAGGAGGAGGAGGAGGAGGAGGAGGAAACGCAGCACACUUUUUUGGCCACGGUCCGCGUUUGAUUAGCCAACUCAAACAUCAGGGCCAAGAUCAGGGCAAUUGACAGCUCUGCUCCCUCAGUUUCUGCUUCCGCUUGGCACACAGUCACAGAGACACACAUUGCCUUAUGGCCACUGGACGAUGGACCACAGUGGAGCCUGGGCAGUACGCAACACCUGACGCUGCCCGCCAGGAUACUCCCGUUCGUCUCGAUCAUACAGCAAAUAAGAAACAUUAAAUAAACAAUCAAAGAAACGGAGUAUUGCUCCGCAACUGCCAACAACAUUCAACGACAACCAGUUGCUCUGUGGUGCUAGAAAGUGAGUGUAAACAGUGUGUGCCUUUGUGAACUGAACUGACCAACGUGCCAAGAACGAAGGGACGAGGAGGUGGGCACUCUGGCUCGGACCCAAGCGAUUUGGCAGGAGCUGAUUGUUUCAUCUGGCCAGGCUUAAUGAAAUAACUCGUCCUGGCCGCGGCUCCAUGUCAAACGCAGCAGGGCAAUCGCCAGCGAAGCCCCAAAGGAUAAGCAUCGUCCAGAACAUCGGAAUCUCCAGCGAAGGAUGCACCAAAAACAUUAUCCACAGGACUAAGAUGCCAAAGGAAACUUUCAAGAUCCGUUUCCAAAACAAAACAUAAAAUAUAUUCAAUAAAAAUGAAGUGGAAAUGAAAUGAUACAUAAUAAAUACCCUAAUACAUAACAGAAACAAAAGCAAGUCACUAAACUUGACUGCAAAUAUAAUACGAUGACACUUAAUAGAAACAUUGUAAUAAAAUUGAAAAGAAGUAGACAAGAAUAACCACUCAUAAAACUAAAAUACCCAGCCUAUAACUAUUUUUCAAAUAGUUGGCAUAGUGCUUACUAUGAACCAUAAUCGCAUAUGAUAUAACCAAUAUUGAGCACUUAAUAUAGCCCAAUAUUAUAUAGACCCAAAUAUGAAAUAGUCACAAACAAUAGUGCAAUACAAUACGUUUAUAAAACAACGUCAAAAGUUUUAUAACGAAAAUAUAUUUCUUUAUAAUGAGCACUUUCGAACAACUACAUUUAAUAUAAAAUAGCGCGGGAAGUCUUCGGCGUGGUGAAAGUAUAAGGUGUAAGCACAGCUGAGAAGAAAGGAAUUUACAAAAUCGAAGGAAGAAGUGAAAGAAGGAGUGAAAAAACAUCUAAGCGCGGAAAAGUGCUACAAAAUGCUGACAUCCUAAAGGAAACCUUGUUGGCCAAUUGGGGAGGAGGCCCAGAAGGUCGGGCCGAUUUUCCGCUGCAACCGACGAAGGUCUGACCAACCAAUCGCAACGCACAGCGGCGACGAAGCCCGGCCGAAUGGGAGCAUCUCGGGCAAACGGAGGGACAGUCAGCCGCCCUGCAAUGCAUUUCUUUUGGCAACGAGUCAAGCGGCCUUUCACACACACACACACACACAUUAGGAUUCCAUAAGGAUACUCUGCCUCGCUCACAUGCGCAUCGAGUGGUAUACGUAAUAUAUCAAGUAUACGCCUGUUGGCCGGGCAGAAAGUCUGUGAGUGUGUGCGAAUGGCCAAACAGAGUGUUGCCAACUGCAUUGCCGGGCUGCCAACGACUCAACCCCCGACCCGAGGACACCACCCUCCUCCCGGCCAGGAGGCCAACGACGAGUCCUUUUUGGAGGCAGCGCAUUGGCUGCAGGACGACCGGCGACAGGACGACCAAUCACCAAUCAAAUCGCGGCUUGUGCGCACUAUCACGGCCGUACGAAGGGCCAAAGGCACGGCAUCCAGGACCUCAGCCGGAGACCCCAAGCCGAUUGUCAAUCUCUUAGACAUAUUAUUAUGCCAACGUCUCCUAUAUUAUAGUUCUCUAGUCGUAAGUCACAUGCCCAAGCCAUCGCCCCAGAACAUCGGGGACAUGAAACAUUAGUUUUAUUGAUAGAGUUCUUAGUUUCGAGCAGAAGCUAUACGAUGAUGAUUUCAAGAAUGAGAAAACGGAAUAAAAACUGUAAAGCUUCAGAGCGGAAC
rnacentral:lncRNA from 1 species